rnacentral:rRNA from 1 species
CAGCUCUCCGAGUGGUAGGGAUGAUUAUUGGGCUUAAAGCGUCCGUAGCCGGCUUAGCAAGUCUCCUGUUAAAUUCAGCGACCUAAUCGUUGAGCCGCGGGAGACACUACUAGGCUAGGAGGCGGGAGAGGCCGACGGUAUUCUCGGGGUAGGGGUGAAAUCCUAUAAUCCCGGGAGGACCACCAGUGGCGAAGGCUGUCGGCUAGAACGCGCUCGACGGUGAGGGACGAAAGCUGGGGGAGCGAACCGGAUUAGAUACCCGUGUAGUCC